GGAACCUACAAAUUUUCCACAGUGGAUGCAC
rnacentral:piRNA from 1 species